GAUGGGGGUGGUUAAAGACGUCAAGAACUAGGCCUACUUUAAGAGAUACACGUGAAAUUUAGAAAAUGACAAGAGGGUAAAACUGAUUACUAUCUUUGGAAACCCUUGGUGAUAUAGGAUAAAAACAAGUAUAACAUGCCCAAAUACAGGAAAAGUCAUGUAACUAAUAGAGAUAUCAUUUGUCAGAUUACUUAUGCUCACAUAGAAGGGGAUAUGAUAGUCUGUACAGCUUAUGCACAUGAACUGCCAAAAUGCAAUGUGAAGGUUGGCCUGACAGAUGACGCUGCAGCCUGUUGUACCAGCCUGUGCUGACCUGCAGGCUUCUCAAUAGGUUCGGCAUGGACAAGAUCUAUGAUGGCCAAGAGAAGGUGACCAGAGAUGAAUUAUAAUGUGGAAAGCAUUGAUGGUCAGCCCGGUGCCUUCACCUGCUAUUUGGAUGCAGGCUUUGCCAGAACUACUAUUGGCAAUAAAGUUUUUGGGGCACUGAAGGGAGCUGUGGAUGGAGGCUUGUCUAUCCCUCACAGUACCAAAUGAUUCCCUGCUUAUGAUUCUGAAGGCAAGGAAUUUAAUGAAGAAGUACAUCAGAAGUACAUCAUAGGUCAGAAUGUUGCAGAUUGGAUGCAUCACCUAAUGGAAGAAAAUAAAGAUGCUUACAAGAAAGAGUUAUCUCAAUACAUAAAGAACAGUGUAACUACAGACGUGGUGGAGGAGAUGUGUAAGGAAGCUCAUGCUGCUAUACAAGAGACCAGUCCAUGAGAAGAAGCCCGAGAAAGAAGCUAAAAAGAGGAGAUAGAACCGUCCCCAAAUGUCCCUUGCCCAGAAGAAAGAUUGGGUAGCUCAAAAGAAGGCAAGCUUGUUUUCUCUGAGCCCUCUCUUACAAGAGCAGAGGAGCAGACUGCUGAGGG
rnacentral:lncRNA from 1 species